rnacentral:rRNA from 1 species
GACGAACGCUGGCGGCGUGCUUAACACGUGCAAGUCGAGCGAGGAAGCACCUUCGGGUGUGAAUUAGCGGCGAACGGGUGAGGAACACGUGAGAAAUCUGCCUUCAACACUGGGAUAACUCCGGGAAACCGGGGCUAAUACCGGAUAUGAAACCUGCGGGCAUCCGCGGGUUUGGAAAGUUUUUCGGUUGAAGAUGAUCUCGCGGCCUAUCAGCUUGUUGGUGAGGUAAUGGCUCACCAAGGCGACGACGGGUAGCCGGCCUGAGAGGGCGACCGGCCACACUGGGACUGAGACACGGCCCAGACUCCUACGGGAGGCAGCAGUGGGGAAUAUUGGGCAAUGGAGGAAACUCUGACCCAGCGACGCCGCGUGCGGGAUGAAGGCCUUCGGGUUGUAAACCGCUUUCAGCAGGGAAGAAGCGAAAGUGACGGUACCUGCAGAAGAAGCACCGGCUAACUAUGUGCCAGCCGCCGCGGUAACAC